rnacentral:rRNA from 1 species
GACGAACGCUGGCGGCGUGCUUAACACAUGCAAGUCGAACGGAAAGGCCCUGCUUUUGUGGGGUGCUCGAGUGGCGAACGGGUGAGUAACACGUGAGUAACCUGCCCUUGACUUUGGGAUAACUUCAGGAAACUGGGGCUAAUACCGGAUAGGAGCUCCUGCUGCAUGGUGGGGGUUGGAAAGUUUCGGCGGUUGGGGAUGGACUCGCGGCUUAUCAGCGUGUUGGUGGGGUAGUGGCUUACCAAGGGUUUGACGGGUAGCCGGCCUGGGAGGGUGACCGGCCACAUUAGGACUGAGAUACGGCGCAGACUCCUACGGGAGGCAGCAGUGGAGAAUAUUGCACAAUGGGCGGAAGCCUGAUGCAGCAACGCCGCGUGCGGGAUGACGGCCUUCGGGUUGUAAACCGCUUUCGCCUGUGACGAAGCGUGAGUGACGGUAAUGGGUAAAGAAGCACCGGCUAACUACGUG